rnacentral:rRNA from 1 species
GACGAACGCUGGCGGCGUGCCUCAUACAUGCAAGUCGAACGCAGUGGGGACGGGUGCUUAACACGUGGGUAACCUCCCAUCAGAGGGGAUAACACUUGGAAACUGGUGCUAAACUGAUACUGAUUGAUGGACCCGCGGUGCAGUAGCUAGUUGGUGAGGUAACGGCGCACCAAGGCCACGAUGCGUAGCCGACCUGAGAGGUGGAUCGGCCACACUGGAACUGAGACACGGCCCAGACUCCUACGGUAGGCAGCAGUAGGGAAUCUUCGGCAAUGGACGAAAGUCUGACCGAGCAACGCCGCGUGAGUGAAGAAGGUUUUCGGAUCGUAAAACACUGUUGUUAGAGAAGCGGUAUCUAACCAGAAAGCCACGGCUAACUACGUGCCAGCAGCCGCGGUAAUAC